CUGAUGCAGCAUGCCGCGUGUAUGAAGAAGGCCUUCGGGUUGUAAAGUACUUUCAGCGGGGAGGAAGGGAGUAAAGUUAAUACCUUUGCUCAUUGACGUUACCCGCAGAAGAAGCACCGGCUAACUCCGUGCCAGCAGCCGCGGUAAUACGGAGGGUGCAAGCGUUAAUCGGAAUUACUGGGCGUAAAGCGCACGCAGGCGGUUUGUUAAGUCAGAUGUGAAAUCCCCGGGCUCAACCUGGGAACUGCAUCUGAUACUGGCAAGCUUGAGUCUCGUAGAGGGGGGUAGAAUUCCAGGUGUAGCGGUGAAAUGCGUAGAGAUCUGGAGGAAUACCGGUGGCGAAGGCGGCCCCCUGGACGAAGACUGACGCUCAGGUGCGAAAGCGUGGGGAGCAAACAGGAUUAGAUACCCC
rnacentral:rRNA from 1 species